UACAGAGGGUGCAAGCGUUGUUCGGAAUUACUGGGCGUAAAGGGCGCGUAGGCAGCCUGCUAAGUCGAACGUGAAAUCCCUGGGCUCAACCCAGGAACUGCGUCCGAUACUGGUUGGCUUGAAUCCGGGAGAGGGAUGUGGAAUUCCAGGUGUAGCGGUGAAAUGCGUAGAUAUCUGGAGGAACACCGGUGGCGAAGGCGACAUCCUGGACCGGUAUUGACGCUGAGGCGCGAAAGCCAGGGGAGCAAACGGG
rnacentral:rRNA from 1 species